UCCUUUUUUUCACAGAUAUUUACUGUUUAUUUAACAGAUUAAACUGUUAAAUUCAAGUUUAAUCCUGUUAAUACAUUUAUAAAAUUAUGUAAAAUUAGUCACAUUAACAAUAAAAAAGUAUUUGUUGUGCUUUGUUUGUUAAUUGACUCGAUAUCUUGUAUAAUUAUGGAAGUUUUCACAACAAAAAUGUUGAAUUAAUGUUUCUUAUCAGUGUAUAAGCAUUGGUAAACUGUCAAAGUAAAGUUUUUAUCAGUUCAGGUUUUCUUCAGCUUGGUUGGAGGAAACUUUCAGUCUUUUUUCAGCAAUUUGUGUGUAAGUUUGUGGUCAUUUAAGGUGACUUUCCCUCCAAACGUCUGUCCCGAUCUGACUCUCUGUCCCCGUACACAGAUAUAGUCUGUCUGAGGGGGACGGAGGUUAUCCAGGGAAAGAGAGAGAGAGAUAGAGAUGUUUUCCUCCAACUUUAUAAGAUGAGCAUCGAGGUCGCUCGCCCACUGAACCAAUCAGAUUGAUGCGUUUCUGGGUUGAGUUCCUCCAAAGUUUAAUGGAGACAGAAAGAAGAAAGUUCACAGCAGAAAAAAACAACAAAAGAAGAGCUGAAUUCACCUGAACCAGCCUCCAGGAGGAGGAGGAGGAGGAAGAAGAGGAGGAGAGGAGACCUGAUCAUGGUCUGAACCAGUUUUUGGUGACCUUCCUGAGGACACGCCGCCCACAAGAUCCUCCUCCCACCAGAGAGACUCUCCUCGCUCUGCAAUCAGCUCGACAUUUACAUUCAGAUGACUGCGCUGCGGUGUGUGCGCCGCUCGGGCCGCUGGAAUGUAAAUUUACCCAGAGAUCAGUUGGGGACUCUGAUGAUGAUAUCGCAGCCUCACACCUGUCCUCACAUGACAUUUACCAGUCUGCCUGCAAACUUAAUCCCCGGGAUUUCAUCAGAGACGAGUUCAUAAAGUGAAAAUCACUGAGAAUAUUUGAGCAUUCAUGCAUCUCUGCAGCCUGAUUUAAGAUUAAUACACACGUGUUGAUACAGGACUAAAACUGAAAGGUUCCUUUGUCCAGAUUUUGCUUCAGAGUGAGACAUCUCUGACGUGGAAUUAAUUUAAGGAUAACGCCAGAAGAUUUUGGUGAGCUCUUCUAGCACUAACACUAAUUAUAGACCAACUCUCGACCUGGAAAGACCUAAUUUCAUUAAUAACACCAGCAUCAGUAAUCAAUACCCACAUUAUUAAAGUUAAAAUUAAUCAAACUAAUACCAUCAGACAACCUUAUCAGACUUCUGUAGUGGAGACAAAACGUUAACAAUGAUCCAUAUUAGCAGUUUGAAUCCAACUAAAAGCUCCCUGCACCAAACUCCCUUUAAGAAAUAUCCCAUUUUAACAAUUCCUAACGUGUUCGUAACAACACGUAACUCUAGAAACACGACUAAAGGCCGUCAUAUGUCCACAGUUUGACUGUCAAUACAGCAUCAGUCUCAUUAUCAGAUAAAAAGUCAAAAUUCCAAUGCAGUAUUGUAAUUGGACAGGUAGAAAUGUUUUACAUUGUCCAACCCACACCUGAACUGAGAGAAUGACCCUAAAUUUAUUCCAGAAAUCUUCUUCCUAACAGACACUUUCAGACUGCUCCUGUGUCUGCUGGUGCUCAGCUCUGCAGAGGUGCCAUGGUCCUCACAGUUGUAAAAGCAGCCGGCGGUCACCUCAGGUCACACACUCGCCAUCAAAAAAAAAGAGAAAGAGAGAAAAGCUCAUUGAGAUUCAGAGGAGAGCAGCUCGGCUCACCCCGACGUGACUCGUCUGUGCACACUGACCCGCUGUGGAGGAAAAUCACUCUUCAGACGUCAGAUUCCUCUCGGUUUCCUUCCUCCUCAGGCGCACAGAGGCAGUAAUUACUCUCACACCGUCCCCACCGGCAGCUCUGUGGAGCUUCUGGUUCACUGACUUUACUGCAGUGUGGGGAUCAAAGUGUGAUCUGUUACCCAGGAACUGGAGGAGUCUGACGGCCUUUCACUUCAGUGUUGCUGCUUCCCAUUAACACGCUGUUUAAACUGGCCAGGACACUACAGAAUAAAGCUCAUCAGUGUAUCCUUCAAAGAUUUGUUAUCCAUUCGAAAUAGCUUUAAACUGUAAAACCAGAUACGUUAAUUAAACUCACUUAAGUUCAGUUAAUGUCACCAAAAAUUACUCAUUAAAGCUGCUUAAUCAAGAUUUUUUCAAAUUUACAAAAUUACAUUUUUUGAUGUAAUUCGUUUCAACUACAGGUUUCAUUUGCACGUCCAUGAAGGUUACUGGUAACACCUUGUUGGGAUGCAGGUCUGUCCAAGUUUGUCAACCAGCUGCACAAUUAAUCCAAAUAUCAUUGAAAUUGCAAUACGAUGUUUUUACCAUAUCGUGCAGCCCUGGUGAAGUUUGUCGCAAAGUCACAGACACACUGUUUGACAUACAGUCACAAAUAGCACAACUUUUAAUCGUGAAGGUCUUGAGAUUACACUGACCAAAUUUGAAGUUGAUCCCAUCAAUUCCCUGGGAGGAGGAGUUCAAAUAAAACCCACAAAAUCACCGAAAAUUACGGUUCAACAUGGCGGAGUACCCACUCCCUCUGUAGAUAAAAACGUCUCAUUCUAAGGUACAAACAAAAUUAAUCUUAUUUUCAGCUGAUUAAACGCUAAUGAAAACAUACUUAUGAAUAUUAUUUUCCAACAGAUCCUCCUGUUCAGCUCACACCCUUUGUGGCCUUUGACCCUUUCAGACAUGUUGUCUACUUGUCUGCUUUGAAUAAUGGUUUCAGUUGUGUUAAAAUUUCCUGAAUUAAAACCAAUUCUCCACAUCA